UACGUAGGGUGCAAGCGUUAAUCGGAAUUACUGGGCGUAAAGCGUGCGCAGGCGGUUAUGUAAGACAGGUGUGAAAUCCCCGGGCUUAACCUGGGAACUGCAUUUGUGACUGCAUAGCUAGAGUACGGUAGAGGGGGAUGGAAUUCCGCGUGUAGCAGUGAAAUGCGUAGAGAUGUGGAGGAACACCGAUGGCGAAGGCAGCCUUCUGGGCCAACACUGACGCUCAUGCACGAAAGCGUGGGGAGCAAACAGG
rnacentral:rRNA from 1 species